ACCGUCAUCGUCAUCAUCGUCAUCUAUAUAUACAGUAUAUAUAUAAAAAUGCACUGUUUGUUUGUAGGACCGAGUUAGCAACAAAACCACUGGGCCAAAUCACACCAAAUUUGGCCACAAAACUAUCCAAGGAGUGACGAUUGGCCCGUGAGACUCUUCGGUUGCCUUGGACUGAGAAUACUCUUUCGAUUGAGUCUCCUUCUGAGGUUUAUUAUAAGUGGAAAGUAGGGAGCGGGAGAGUCAUAUAUGCCACAUUGAGUUGCCUGGCUUGCGAAAUCCAAAGCGUGCCAUUGUGAAAGGGAAGGGGAAAUCUGAAUGAGGAGGGUGUUGCUCGGCUCUGUGACUGCUAUCGGAUGAGAGAUCUGAGAUGCCUGCGGGACACGCUUUCCCCUUGCGAGGAGGAGGAGGAGGAGGGGGAGGUGGGCGGGGCCACAAAUGGGCAGCCAGAACUGGGAUGGGCGGAGUUACGAGCACUGAGUCAGGGCUGAGCUUCUAUCCCUGUCCUGUGGUGCCUGCCAGGACACAGGAGGCGGGGCUAGAGGAGGGGGCGGGGCCUCUUCCCAAGUGUCUGACGGGGCUGUAUUCUAACAAGCGCCUCAGGAGAGAUAUAGAGGCUCAGCCCUGUCUUGGGAAGAGGCCCCGCCUCCACCCCAGCCACGCCCCUUAGUCCUAAAAGGCCUCUCAGGAGAGGUAUAGAGGCUCAGCCCUGUCUCCCGCUCUUGGAAGGAGGCCCCGCCCCCUUCCCUAGCUCCGCCCUCUGUGUCCCAACAAGCGCCUCAGGAGAGGUAUAGAGGCUCAGCCCAGUCUCAGGCUCUUGGGAAUAGGCCCCGCCCACUCCUCUAGCUCCACCCCCUGUGUCCUAACAGGUGCCUCAGAUGCUCAGCCCUGUCUCCGGCACUUGGGAAGAGGCUCUAAAAAGUGUCAAUAAUGACACAGUUCUGUUCCUGGCUUGAAAGUGUGUGUUCCUGUUUGAUUGUGUGCUGCUGACUUGGGCAGAUGUGGUCCUACCCCAUGAGGUGUGUUUGUGUGGCAGAUACUUCAUGAAACCUCUGGAGGGAGGGCACAGGAAUUUCGUAGAGAUUCAGAUAUCCGAAUCUCCCCAUAUCCGUAUAUCUGCAUCUCAGAACAAAGCAGCAAGUCUGGACAACGGAGGCAGAAAUCCCAGGACCAACAGGUCUGUAUGUGGACCUCGUCUGAAGUAAGUCCUGGGAUUUUUUGCCCCUGUUGAAAACCCGUCAUUUUGUGCUGUCUGGAAGCGCCCUGGGUUGAAUUGGUUGAGACUCGAUGAUGAGAUCUUCAAGGCAAAACUAGAGCAAAACGUGCUGCAUGAUGUCCCUCCCGCUGAAACAAAGUUUUUACAGUUUAAUAAACAUUUCUCAUAUUUUUAUGAUAGACCCAAUUAGGAAAUUGCAUUUAUGACACAGGAACAAAUAUCGUGUUAAAUAGUGUAAAAGCGAAACCCAGAAUAACUCUUGUCGUAAAAUCCUGGAAUCCUAGAGUUGGAAGAGACCUCACGGGCCAUCCAGCCCAACCUUAUUCAGCCCAGAAGCAGGAAAAUCACAUGGAAAGCACCCCUGACAGAUGGCCAUCCAGCCUCCAUUGCAGCUCGCAGCAGAGAGUUCCAGUGCUGAACAGCCCUUCUCACAGUGAGGAACUUUCUUGAUCUUGGAGAUGGAUCAACCGGAAUAAAGGGCAGAAUUUUCCAACAGUUUUGGGUGUCCGCAGCCAGGAAACUCGUUGAACCCGCUGCCUCUUUCCCGAAACUGCAUUUGCUUUUAAGUCCGGGCCACUCUUUGCUGGGUCCGUCAUGCGACUUGGUUUGACCCAACUUUCUCUGUUGCUUUUGACCUAUCCUUCUUCUAUAUUUUAACCCCAGUUUACCCAGUGCUGUGACUUCUCUCUUUUUCUUUUUUGCAACUUGUAUACUGAGUUCUGACUACUGCGUUGCCCAAAUUGGGUGAUUGUGAAACAAGAAAGAGGUAACUGCCGGUUUUGGGGGAAAAAGCCAACGAAUUGCAGAAGUAAACAAGACACGGGGAAGAAGUAAACACUCCAAGAAACAGCUCAGUUGACUUUUAUAGGAUUCCCAAGGAGAUUACACACCUUCCAAAUUCUUCCGUUCCCAUACCCUCUCUCCUUCCAUCCUGAACAUGGCGCUUUUGGUCAGAUACUUAUCAAUCAAUCAAUCAAUCAAUCAAUCAAUCAAUCAAUCAAUUUAUUAAUGCUCCGACCAAUGGUCAUAUGCAUUUACAGAAACAACAUCAAACAAACAUCUAUACAAAACACUGUAAAAUCCAACAGUAUCUUUGCGUGCUCAUUUUCCAAUACUUUUGCAGGUUUGUGAUCCCACCCGUUCUUUGCUGCUGGAAGGUGGUACUUGAGGCAUAAGUUCCAAUGAAUCCUUUGGACCACGUAGUUGUGCCUCUGUUUGUAGUCUGUCUGUGUGAUUUUCUUACAGCAGCUGAGGAGAUGAUCCAUGGUUUCGUCGGUUUCCUUGCACAGUCUGCAUUUUGGGUCAUCAGCUGAUUUUUUCGAUCUUGG
rnacentral:lncRNA from 1 species